UUCAGUGAUGUUGAGAGUCAACAGGAAAUUAAUCAGCAAGUAGAAAAUUGAAAGAAGAUCUGCAUCUUACUGCAGGAGUCAUUAAAAUAAAAGCAGAUUUGGCAAAAUGGCAAGUGGAGGAAGACUUCUCACACACAGUUUAAGGAUGAGGAAAUGAAGGCACAGAGCAGUUAUUCAACUUGUCUAAGGCCACACGGCUACUAAGAAUCAUUGCCAGGAUGUACCUCCAGUUUUAUAGGUUUUGGCCACCGUGUGACGACUCCUUCCCUCUUUUGAUGGAUAUCCAGAGAGCACCUUGGGCAGCUACCUGAUUCUUACGACCACCCCCUCCCAGUUUUGGACCAUCAGAGCUGUUGUCAGAAUGUCUUCAUAGGAGUCUCCCAACCUUCUAUUUUUCCUUUGAACUUUGAAAAUCUACCUCCGAAUAUUGCAAGCUCAUGUCUAACUGAGCUAAUGAUAUUCCUCCAUUUUCCCAAAAGUUUAAGCUGCCACUGUCUUUUAGUUGCUAUUUUCUUAACUAACUAGUUUGUUCUGAUGGGUCAAAAUUAAGGGCUUUUGAUAAGGAGAACAGUUAUUAUAUUUUUUCAGACUUCUGGGAGAUGAAGCCACAUGAAGAAUUUAUUGCAUUUGUUGUUCUUAGCUGACCUUACCCUGAUUUUACCACAUAAUAAAAUGCUUUGAGUCCUGCAUUCUACUGGUUACUUUGGGUUUUGUUUGUUUGUUCAUUGUUAACCACAACUGAACUU
rnacentral:lncRNA from 1 species